GUCGUAACAAGGUUUCCGUAGGUGAACCUGCGGAAGGAUCAAUUAUACGAAUAUCCAACACCAAACCAAUCAACUACUGUGAGUCUCGGUCUUGGCUGAGAUUCGCUGGUGCUGCGUGGCGUCUUAACCGAUGCAAUCGCGUAGUACCGAUUCAAACCCUUUUUCAACCUCUACCCUGAAAAAAACCUUGAUAAACAUCAAAACUUUUAGCGAUGGAUGUCUCGGCUCAGGCAACGAUGAAGGACGCCGCAAAAUGCGAUAAGCGCUGUGAAUGGCAGAAUUCCGCGAAUCAAGAGAAUGCUGAACGCAUACUGCACUUUCAGGUUAUUCCUGAAAGUAUGUCUGGUUCAGGGCUGUAACAAUAUCAUGCUGCUAAUGAUGCAAGUGUUUCACUUGUUAGUUGGUAUGCGUUCUUGUGUGCUAGCGACGUCUCUCCCGUUGGCACAUUAAAUACAGUGGCUUUUAGCCGGCUCAGAUCCCGCUUGGUGUCAUUCGUGAUGUUUUAGUGGUGCAUUUGUGGCGAAAGCACCUAUUCAACUUUUACUGUUGGCAUGAACUCAGACAAGGCUACCCGCUGAAUUUAAGCAUAUAAGUAAGCGGAGGAAAAGAAAAUGAAUAUGAUUCCGUUAGUAAGGGCGACUGAACCCGGAAGAGCUCAAAAUGUAAAUCCGCGACCUGGUCGUGGAAUUGUAGUCUUGAGAGCUAUCACCAGUGUCUGCCUCCGCGUAAGUUUUUUUGGAAAAAAACGUCAUAGAGGGUGAGAACCCCGUCCACGUGGAAGGCUAGGCGCAUACGGUGUGGCUUCUUAGAGUCGCGUACUUUGGAAAUGGUGCGCAAAAUGGGUGGUAAUUUUCAUCUAAAGCUAAAUAUUGGCCUGAGACCGAUAGCAAACAAGUACCGUGAGGGAAAGAUGAAAAGGACUUUGGAAAGAGAGUUAAAAGUGCCUGAAAUCGCUAAGAGGGAAGCGAAUGAAACCAGUUUCUUGGUGUGAGAUUGUUCUAGACUAAGGUGAGUUUCGGUUCCGCAAGGGCCGUUGAGCUGAGCUGGACGUCUGGGGUGUUUCUCACGCUAAGGUGUCAUCGUGUAUUCGGUGUUAGGCGAAAAUCGCUGGUGCAUUGGGUCAAUGCUUCUGUGUUGCUUAUUGCCUGGUUGAGAGCCUUACCCGGAUAUAGGGUGCGAGCAGUUUUCACUGCGCCAUAAUAGUGGUGAAGGUUGGGUGGAGUCCUAGAUUGCUCUCUUCCGAUCUGCUAUGAGGUGUAAUAUUUCUGUUCCGAAACGAUGGCUAAAUGGUUUUUUUCUACCCGUCUUGAAACACGGACCAAGGAGUCGACUUCUAUCGCAAGUAUGCGGGUGGUAAACCUGUAUGCGGAAUGAAAGUAAGAGUUACGAAUUUUUACGCUGUAACGACCGACUUCGAUCUAUUGAGAGAGGUUUGAGUUUUAGCGAUAAGGGUCGGACCCGAAAGAUGGUGAACUAUGCGUGAA
rnacentral:rRNA from 1 species